rnacentral:pre_miRNA from 1 species
AAUAAACCAAUUUUUCACUUUUUACCUAUGAUUUUUGACUCUUCGUCUUAUUCAAUUUUUUUUUGCAAUUGAUAUUUUUGUUUUUAUUAGAUGAUAAAUCAUGAAUAAUAUUUUACGUGUGACUAAUUUUUUCUAAUUUCCUGAAAAUUUUUUAAAUAAGACGGAUUGUCAAACGUUGGACACAAAACCGAAG